GAUGAACGCUAGCUACAGGCUUAACACAUGCAAGUCGCAGGGUAACAUGAGGAAAGCUUGCUUUCCUUGAUGACGACUGGCGCACGGGUGAGUAACGCGUAUCCAACCUUCCCAUAACUACGGGAUAACCCGUUGAAAGACGGCCUAAUACCGUAUGAUAUCGUUUGCUGACAUCAAAUAACGAUUAAAGGUUUAGCGGUUAUGGAUGGGGAUGCGUCUGAUUAGCUUGUUGGCGGGGUAACGGCCCACCAAGGCUACGAUCAGUAGGGGUUCUGAGAGGAAGGUCCCCCACAUUGGAACUGAGACACGGUCCAAACUCCUACGGGAGGCAGCAGUGAGGAAUAUUGGUCAAUGGGCGAGAGCCUGAACCAGCCAAGUAGCGUGCAGGAUGACGGCCCUAUGGGUUGUAAACUGCUUUUAUGUGGGGAUAAAGUGCGUGACGUGUCAUGCAUUGCAGGUACCACAUGAAUAAGGACCGGCUAAUUCCGUGCCAGCCGCCGCCGUAACAC
rnacentral:rRNA from 1 species